AAGCUAAGUUAGGGUUAGGGUUAGGGUUAGGGUUAGAAAUGGAGCUCCCGAAUACACCAUUCGCACGCGUCGCCGCUCCUUUCUCUCCUCUUCUCCCUCCAGAUUCUCAUGAAGGUGCUUGAUUGAAAAUGAGGCGAAGUUCGCAGCGACGGUGGCAGCGAUAAACUUCUACACUUUCUAUCAUGAUUUGCGGACACUGAGAAGGGCUGUUUUGUUCCUCAGAAAAGUAUGGAGAAAGGAUUUUCGAGAAAAAUACUUUUUCAUGGAAAUCCUUUUUUUUAGUUUUCUGCCUGUGUGGUUUCAAGAAAAAUUAGUUUUUUUUGGAAUUUCUUUUUUUAGAUUUCACAGAAAAUUAGUGUUUUCGUUUUUCACAGAAAAAUUCAGAAAAUGAAAAUACUAGUUUUCCAUUAAAUAUAGAAAUUCUUUUUUUUUUCAAAAAAGUUAGUUCUUUUGGAACCAAAAUGGAUGGGAAAACUCAAAAAAUGCUUUUUUUUUCAUGAAAAACUUUUUUUUCCAUACUUUUUCAACAAACCAAACAGUCCCUGAAUGACUUACAGAUCACGAAUUCUGCGUAUUCAUUUUGUCAUGUCAGCGGAAGGAUGGAAGAGCCUAAUGUGGAAGUAAGUUCGAUUUGCGAAGAUUCGCAUACAUUUUUGUUAAGUUUUAUGCAUUGAAAUCACAAUGAGAUGCCACUGGAGGAAUGAAUUGAGUUUAUGCAAGAUAUGCUCGAAGAGUCCGACAGCGGCAGCGAUUUAUUAGAUGAUGAUAUUUCUCGUCAGCAAGCAGUAAACUUCUAUACUUUCUGUCAUGAAUUGCCGACACUGAACGACUCAUCAGUCGCUGAUUCUGUGUAUUUAUUUCGUCAUGUCAAGCAGAAGGAUUGGAAGAACUUAGUGCGUAAGUAUGUUCGAUUUGCGAAGAUUCGCAUACAUUUUUGGUUAAGUUUUAUGCGUGGAAUUCACAAUGAGAUGCUGCUGGAGGGGGAAUGAAUUGAGUUUAUGCAAGAUCUGCUCAAAGAGUCCGACAGCGGCAGCAAUUUCUCAGAUGAUGAUAUUUCUCGUCAGUGAGUAGUAAACUUUUAUACUUACUGUCAUGAAUCGCAGACUCUGGACGACUUAUCGGUUGCUGAUUCUGUGUAUUCAUUUCGUCAUGUCAAUCAGAGUAAGUACGUUCGAUUUGCGAAGAUUCACAUACAUGCUGGGCACAGUUUUAUGCUUUGAAUUCGUAGUUACAGAUCAAUUGAUGAAGAUUUGCAGGUGAGAACAAGUAGUUGUACCGUGCGACGAGAAAUGAACUCUUUUAUUUCCGUCCCUGCAUGAUUCAAAGGUGCGAUCGGAAUAGGGGUUUCCGGGUGUUAUCUCUUUAUCAAUUAGGGUUCAUGAGACUCUGUAGCUGGCGAUACAGCUCUCACUGUUCGCAAGCCAGUUCAUGUUCGGCUCGAAAUGAGUUCGGGAUCAAUUGCUUGUUUAAUUACAAGCUGAAUUUUUUUAGCUUGCAACGAGAUUUGGAGAGUUCAUCAUGACGAGAAGGAGAGUCGGAGAAAACAGAUUCAGUGGUCAGUUCCAAGGGCUUUUAUUUGCAGAAGAGAGGAAAUUAGUAGCACUAGACAUGAUCUUUCAUGGGGAAAUCAUCAUCUUCUUCUUCUUCUUCUUUUUAAUUCUAUUUGUGUAUAUUUGUAAAAUGUUUGUUAUUGCUUUAUUGGGUAUACUUCACCAUGAGGAAAA